GGGGACCGUAUACGCAGCUUGUUGCGUGUAUGGUUAGUGGCAGACGGGUGAGUAAUGCAU
rnacentral:rRNA from 1 species